GUCAAGAAACCUCAAUUCAAAUCCUGCCAUAAACACUUGCCAGCUGUGUGAUAAUGGACACAUGACUCUGCUAUGCUCUGACAGUCUUCUCUCCCUCAGCUCCUAAAUGCUGGCCUUCUGUUCCAGGACAACAUUAACAGAAUGCAGUAAACAUCUAGGACCAAAGAAAUUAAUCACUUUGGAAGGAAUAUAAAAAGUAUGGUGACAAGCAGAUUGAGAUAAGAUUGAUGAAGAAGGGUUGAUAUCUGCUUAAAGAAGGCCUUGGAUACCAAGCAAAGAAGUUAAGGUUCACUCAAUAGACAAGAGAAAAAAAAAUUGGCAAAGAAAGACACACUCUCGGAAUUGGAA
rnacentral:lncRNA from 1 species